rnacentral:sRNA from 1 species
CUGCACAAAUCUUCAAAAAACAUCCUUGUCCCACUGCGUCACCUGCGGACAGAUUUCAUGUCCUGGUCUCCUUCUAAACCUGGAGGUGGGGCAUGAACAGGGUGGAGUCACAGGGGAAAGAAAAUGAGGCCCCAGGACACCUGGGUUCACACCCAGGUCCCCAGCGAUGUCUCCACCACCGCUGCUGCAACCCCUGAUGCUGCUGCUGCCUCUGCUGAAUGUGGAGCCUGCCGGGGCCACACUGAUCCGGAUCCCUCUUCAUCGAGUCCAACCUGGACGCAGGACCCUGAACCUACUGAGGGGAUGGAGAGAACCAGCAGAGCUCCCCAAGUUGGGGGCCCCAUCCCCUGGGGACAAGACCAUCUUCGUACCUCUCUCGAACUACAGGGAUGUGAGUCACAGCCCCACACAGCCCUCACCCCUGUGCCCUUGAGCCAAACUCUUCGUUUACUCUCCUCUUUUGCUAUCAGGUGCAGUAUUUUGGGGAAAUUGGGCUGGGAACGCCUCCACAAAACUUCACUGUUGCCUUUGACACUGGCUCCUCCAAUCUCUGGGUCCCGUCCAGGAGAUGCCACUUCUUCAGUGUGCCCUGCUGUGAGCUUCUAUGCGGGAGAAUAAGGCUGAAUGGGGGUGAAGGGAGGAGGCGGGGCUGGACCUCAGCUUCUCAGAGGCUUUUGAGGAACUGUUCUUUUAUCAUGCCCUCACAGGUCAGAAAGUCAAAGGGGCAGUAGGCACUGGGGAGAUUCCCUCCCCCAUGACACCUUUCUGACCUCUAACCUAGGGUUACACCACCGAUUUGAUCCCAAAGCCUCUAGCUCCUUCCAGGCCAAUGGGACCAAGUUUGCCAUUCAAUAUGGAACUGGGCGGGUAGAUGGAAUCCUGAGCGAGGACAAGCUGACUAUUGGUGGAAUCAAGGGUGCAUCAGUGAUUUUCGGGGAGGCUCUCUGGGAGCCCAGCCUGGUCUUCGCUUUUGCCCAUUUUGAUGGGAUAUUGGGCCUCGGUUUUCCCAUUCUGUCUGUGGAAGGAGUUCGGCCCCCGAUGGAUGUACUGGUGGAGCAGGGGCUAUUGGAUAAGCCUGUCUUCUCCUUUUACCUCA